ensembl:misc_RNA Metazoa_SRP Metazoan signal recognition particle RNA
GCCGGGUGUGGUGGCUUGUGCCUGUAGUCCCAGCUACUUGGGAGGCUGAGAUGGGAGGAUCACUUGAGCCCAGGAGUUUGAGGCUGCAGUGAACUGUGAUUGUGCCACUGCACUCUAGCUUGGGCAACAAAGCAAGACCCUGUCUCAA